rnacentral:rRNA from 1 species
GACGAACGCUGGCGGCGUGCUUAACACAUGCAAGUCGAACGAAGAGCGAUGGAAGCUUGCUUCUAUCAAUCUUAGUGGCGAACGGGUGAGUAACGCGUAAUCAACCUGCCCUUCAGAGGGGGACAACAGUUGGAAACGACUGCUAAUACCGCAUACGAUCUAAUCUCGGCAUCGAGGAUAGAUGAAAGGUGGCCUCUACAUGUAAGCUAUCACUGAAGGAGGGGAUUGCGUCGGAUUAGCUAGUUGGAGGGGUAACGGCCCACCAAGGCGAGGAUCAGUAGCCGGUCUGAGAGGAUGCACGGCCACAUUGGGACUGAGACACGGCCCAGACUCCUACGGGAGGCAGCAGUGGGGAAUCUUCCGCAAUGGACGAAAGUCUGACGGAGCAACGCCGCGUGAGCGAUGACGGCCUUCGGGUUGUAAAGCUCUGUUAAUCGGGACGAAAGGCCUUCUUGCGAAUAGUGAGAAGGAUUGACGGUACCGGAAUAGAAAGCCACGGCUAACUACGUG